rnacentral:tRNA from 1 species
GCGGCUGUGGCGCAACGGUAGCGCAACGGACUUAUAAUCCGUGUGUCGUGGGUUCGACUCCUACCAGCCGUACCA